rnacentral:rRNA from 1 species
CCUACGGGAGGCAGCAGGGAGGAAUAGUGGGCAAUGGACGAGAGUCUGAACCAGCCAAGUAGCGUGAAGGAUGACAGCCCUAGGGGUUGUAAACUUCGUUUAUAUGGGAAUAAAAUGUUCCACGUGUGGGAUUUUGUAUGUACCAUAUGAAUAAGGAUCGGCUAACUCCGUGCCAGCAGCCGCGGUAAUACGGAGGAUCCGAGCGUUAUCCGGAUUGAUUGGGUUUAAAGGGAGCGUAGGGGGUUUGUUAAGUCAGUUGUGAAAGUUUGCGGCUCAACCGUAAAAUUGCAGUUGAAACUGGCAGUCUUGAGUACAGUAGAGGUGGGCGGAAUUCGUGGUGUAGCGGUGAAAUGCUUAGAUAUCACGAAGAACUCCGAUUGCGAAGGCAGUUCACUGGACUGCAACUGACACUGAGGCUCGAAAGUGUGGGUAUCAAACAGGAUUAGAUACCCUUGUAGUC